CAGACGAUGCGUCAUGCAUAUCAAUAAGCGGAGGAAAAGAAACUAACAAGGAUUCCCUAGUAACGGCGAGUGAAGCGGGAAGAGCUCAAAUUUGAAAUCUUAAAGGGUUUCCCUUUACGAAUUGUAGUUUAAAGAAGUGUUUUCUGUUGAGGUUUUGGUAAAAGUUCUUUGGAAUAGGACAUCAUAGAGGGUGAGAAUCCCGUAUUUGACCUUUACUUUCAACUUUGUGAUACACUUUCAAAGAGUCGGAUUGUUUGGGAAUGCAGUCCAAAAUGGGUGGUAAAUUUCAUCUAAAGCUAAAUAUUGGCGAGAGACCGAUAGCGAACAAGUACCGUGAGGGAAAGAUGAAAAGAACUUUGAAAAGAGAGUUAAACAGUACGUGAAAUUGUCAAAAGGGAAGCGUUUGACACCAGUAUAGUUUUUCUGAAAAUCAAUUAAAGAACUGUUUAUGCUAAGCUGUUUAGACUUUAUCAGCUAUCUGUUUAGUUUUGAGCUUUUCUUUAAUGCACUCUUCAGUUAACAAGUCAACAUCAAUUUCUUUUGCUGUAAAAAAGCUUGAGGAAGGUGGCUUGAGAUUCGUCUCUAAGUGUUUAUAGCCUCUUGCCUAUGCAGUCGGAGAGAUUGAGGUCUGCAGCGUAGAUCCUUCGGGGCUAAAUGCAUUUGUGCUAAGUUAUAGCAUUUUAUAGACAACUUGCUGACUAUGAUUUGUCUUGUAGCUUACUCGCUUAUGUUAUUUUACCUACGCUUAGGAUGUUGAAUCUGUGCGAGACUAC
rnacentral:rRNA from 1 species